rnacentral:rRNA from 1 species
AAUAUUGGACAAUGGGGGGAACCCUGAUCCAGCCAUGCCGCGUGUUUGAAGAAGGUCGUCGGAUUGUAAAGCACUUUAAGUUGGGAGGAAGAGUUGUAGGCUAAUACCUUGCAAUUUUGACGUUACCAACAGAAUAAGCACCGGCUAACUUCGUCCCAGCAGCCGCGGUAAUACGAAGGGUGCCAGCUUUAAUCGGAAUUCCUGGGCGUAAAGCGCGCGUAGGUGGGUCGUUAAGUUAGAAGUGAAAGCCCCGGGCUUAACCUGGGAAUUGCUUUCAAAACUGACGAGCUAGAGUACGGUAGAGGGUAGUGGAAUUUCCUGUGUAGCGGUGAAAUGCGUAGAUAUAGGAAGGAACAUCAGUGGCGAAGGCGACUACCUGGACUGAUACUGACACUGAGGUGCGAAAGCGUGGGGAGCAAACAGG